rnacentral:rRNA from 1 species
AAUGAACGUUGGCGGCGUGGAUUAGGCAUGCAAGUCGAGGGAGAACCCGCAAGGGGGACACCGGCGAACGGGGUAGGAAUACGUAGGUAACGUACCCUCAGGACGGGGAUAGCCACGGGAAACUGUGGGUAAUACCCGAUGAUCGGGUCUGGCUCAAUUGCCGGAUGAGCAAAGGUGAGAUUCCACCUGAGGAGCGGCUUACGCGAUAUUAGCUAGUUGGCGAGGUAACGGCUCACCAAGGCGACGAUAUCUAGGGGGUGUGAGAGCAUGGCCCCCACCACUGGGACGGAGAUACUGCCCAGACACCUACGGGUGGCUGCAGUCGAGAAUCUUCGGCAAUGGGCGAAAGCCUGACCGAGCGACGCCGCGUGCGGGAUGAAGGUCUUCGGAUUGUAAACCGCUGUCGGGAGGGAUGAAGUGCACGGGGGCAAUCCCCUGUGUUUGACAGAGCUCCGGAGGAAGCACGGGCUAAGUUCGUGCCAGCAGCCGCCGUAACAC